ACCGGAUAUUAUGAGAUUCUCGCAUGAGAAACUUAUGAAAGCUAUAUGCGCCAAGAGAGAGCCUUGCGUUCCAUUAGCUAGUUGGUGGGGUAACGGCCCACCAAGGCGACGAUGGAUAGCCGGCCUGAGAGGGUGAACGGCCACAAGGGGACUGAGACACGGCCCUUACUCCUACGGGAGGCAGCAGUGGGGAAUAUUGGACAAUGGGCCACAAGCCUGAUCCAGCAAUUCUGUGUGCACGAUGAAGGUCUUCGGAUUGUAAAGUGCUUUCAGUUGGGAAGAAGAAAGUGACGGUACCAACAGAAGAAGCGACGGCUAAAUACGUGCCAGCAGCCGCGGUAAUACGUAUGUCGCAAGCGUUAUCCGGAUUUAUUGGGCGUAAAGCGCGUCUAGGCGGAAAAAUAAGUCUGAUGUUAAAAUGCGGGGCUCAACUCCGUAUUGCGUUGGAAACUGUUUUUCUAGAGUACUGGAGAGGUGGGCGGAACUACAAGUGUAGAGGUGAAAUUCGUAGAUAUUUGUAGGAAUGCCGAUGGAGAAGUCAGCUCACUGGACAGAUACUGACGCUGAAGCGCGAAAGCGUGGGGAGCAAACAGGAUUAGAUACCCUGGUAGUCCACGCCGUAAACGAUGAUCACU
rnacentral:rRNA from 1 species